rnacentral:rRNA from 1 species
UACGGGGGGGGCAAGCGUUGUUCGGAAUUACUGGGCGUAAAGGGCUCGUAGGCGGCCAACUAAGUCGGAUGUGAAAUCCCCAGGCUCAACUUGGGAACUGCAUCCGAUACUGGAUGGCUUGAAUUCGGGAGAGGGAUGCAGAAUUCCAGGUGUAGCGGUGAAAUGCGUAGAUAUCUGGAGGAACACCGGUGGCGAAGGCGGCAUCCUGGACCAAUACUGACACUGAGGAGCGAAAGCCAGGGGAGCAAACGGG